UUGCACCAAUUUCUCUCAUCUCUCUAACAAAGUUUAUGUGAGUCAAAAUCGUCGGCAAGAUAGUGUUUCUAUUUUUGGAAAUUAAGUGGAAACUAAGUAUUUUUGGAAGAAAAAGACCUGACUUUUCAACGCUCCCUACCUAGUUUUCAGAAAGUUAUCUUUACAAAUAAUCUAAACUCGUUGCUGAUAUUCACAAAUAAGAAAGCUUGAAAGAUGUCUCACUUAAUAUCAGUGCUAGUUUUGUUGCUAGCAAUUAUCACUCUUACUAGCGCAGCAAGAAAUAUUAAUCCCAAAUAUGAGUCUGCACGAUCCAAUGGAUUUAUCAGUUACCAGCCCCCAACGACUGAUACACAAAAACUGGUUGGUCUCAAUCACAGGCGACGUAGACAUUUAGCACCGCCGCCUCCUCCUAAGAAGCCUCCACCAAUUCACGUCCCAGGAACACCACAACGACAGCCUCAUCAACACCCGAUACGCCCACCUCCUAAAAUGUAAGAAUUAAGAACUCACUAUUUGAGGAGGCUAAGUUCGUCCAAUAAACUAUUCCCUCCGGUUAUAAUUUAUAAGAAAAAAAAUUUGUUUUUGAGAUUCAUUAAAUACUUAAUAUAUAUUAAAUACAUUAAAUAUUCAAUGAAUUCAAAAAAUAGUUUUUUUCUCUUAUAAAUAUGACCCAAGGAAAUCAAGUUAAUAUCAUUUUUCAUAGUAUAUUUUAUAUCUUUCUUGUAAUUUUGAUUUAUAUGUUUCUAUUAUCUUUUAGUGUGCUUAAGAUUUUACCAUAUGGAUAAUAAUGAUUUAUUCAUAAUAUUAUUUGAGAAGUGUAUUGUUCAUUAAGGAAAAGAACAAAAAUGAAUGAGGAAAUGUCGUUAAUUGUAUUUGAUAGUUUUUCUAAUGUUUUUUUUUUUUUGACAAAAGUUUUGCUAAUGUUUAUUUUCUUAGUUUAGCAUCUUUAAUUUUCAUAGUUCCAUAUAUUUAGUUUAUUUGGAGCCUAUCAACGAUAUUCCGGUUUAAAUCUUGAUGAUAAUGUCUAACCUAAUAAUAUUUGAUAUUUAUCGGUUUAGAUAUGUCUUGCAAACAAAACACAACCGAUUAUAUCAUACUUAUAUUUAUAAAUAACAAAUUUUAUACCCGUCAAUAACGUUGAGACUACCCUCAUUUACACACAUUUAUCUUAUUGUCAUGAUGGAACAUUCAUAUAAUGUUGGAAGAAAAAUUGGAAGAUUAAACACCAAAUAUUAUACUUUGAUCUAAUGUUGUGUACAUUGAAAAAAUAGUGUGGAGGUUCCACAUAAAAUAGAACACACACAUUAGUAGUGUUUAAAUUACGGUAUUUAAUUUUAAAUAUUUGAUAAUGAUAAAAAUAAUAGUAAUUAUUAUUUUUAUUCAAGUACUAUUAAGAUCAUAGUUCCUUUUUGGAAUAAUAAUGUCCCGUCGAAAUUAAGAAUGAUCUUAAAUGUAUAUAAACAUUCUUUCAAAAAAUUUCUAAUUGAGGAGAAAUUAAAAAGUGGAAAUAGUGGUAUCAGCAUAUUUGAGUGGUCGUAGUGCCAUAUUGAUAUUUUGGAGAAUUAAAGUUAAAAUGGUGGUAACACCAUAUUUGAGUGGUCUCAGCACCAUAAGAGAGUGGUAACAAUACCAUAUUAAAGUGGUUUCAACAUUAAAGAGUGGUCUUACUAUCAUAUUGAAGGUGUAAUUCUCGAACGGUUUUCUACACUGCAAUAGUUAAUCGAACAGUUCUAACCGGGCUUGUUUUAUAUCCUGCAGACGGCGUGGUUAAUAGUCUGUCUUGAACAAUUUUGAGCAGUGUCAUGAAAUGUUUUAUAGAGAGCGACCUGAUCGUGACUCAACCUAGUAACCAGUGGCGGAGCCCUAUCAACGAUUAUAGGUCUAUUUUGCGAGAUUUUAUGCAAUUUUGUGUCAGUUUUAUGUUUUGGUUGAUCCAAAUUCUUGCAAAGUGGUGUAGUGGCCCACCCGAAAAUUUAAAUGAUUCAAUUAUAGGUCUAUUUUGUGAGAUUUUAUACAAUUUUAUGUCGGUUUUAGGUUUCGGUUGAUCCAAAUUCCCGCAAAUUGGUGUAGUGGCCCACCCGAAAAAUUUAAAUAAUUCAAUUAUGAGUCUAAUUUGCGAGACUUUAAACAAUUUUUCAAUAGUUAAUUUUAGUGGCCCACCCUGACAUUUUUUUCUGGCUGGCUCCGCCACUAGUAACAACUUCGAUAGAUAAUAUAAUUUAGAAAUUCAAAUAAAACAGUUUGAAAAUCCAAUUGUCAUGCAAAUUUACUAUUUAGCAAUGUACUGGUUUAUGUCAAACCACUGUCAAUUGAAUUACUCCAAUUUAGCCAAACUCCAAUAUAUAUUUAGCAAUGUACUGAUUUGUUGUUAAUUAGAAAUUUUUAAUGACUUAAUAGAUUUAAAAUCUUUGUGAGCAACAAAUUACAAGCAUUGUUUUAAAUAUAUAAAUCUUUCAAAUGAUGCAUCUAUGCCACUAUUUCUUUAAAUUAGAGUUUGUACUUUGUACACCUGCUGUUGUUUUGUGAAUUUCUAUUUGUUCUCAUGCCUUCCAUAUUGAAAUGAAGAUAUAGAAGAAAAAAUAUGCUGAAACUAGCUAAUUUUCGCAGACUAAACACUAUUAAAUUAGUCUCCAACUUUUUGUGAUGUUCUCAAAAAGUGCCUUCCAUACUAAUAUGAAGAUAUGGAAAGAAUAAUUCAAAAAGAUUAGUCAAUUUCUUUUUGUGUUAACUCUUCGAUUUUUAGGAAAAGAGAUUAUAGUAAUCUCGAGUACAUCUGUAAGGUAAGUAAAAUUUGAGCUAUAAUUGUUUCACUCAUUAAAUAAACUCAUAUGUCAUAAACAAUAUGUUCUUUAAUGAAAUUUAUUAACCACUCAAGUGUGAUUGCUUGUUUAAGAUUAGUCAAUUUACUCUUAUUAGUUCUUCAAAGAGUAUGUUAGGGACUAAUUUGAAUUUUUUUUUUAUCGCAAGGGACUAAUUCGAUUGAAAGUGGAUAAAUUUAGAGAUCAAACUAGUAAAUGAUUAAAUACAAACCCACUUGGGUUGACCUAGUGGUAUUGGUUUGGGACCUUAGAGUGUGCUCCUUCUCAAGGCUCAUGUUCGAUUCUCUUUGGUGCUAAUUUAGGUGGGUUAAUUUAAUUUCUUAAAUAAAAAGUGAUUAAAUACAAAAAGAACUUGAUAGUUUAAUAGAGUUAGAAAUAAUUUUGGUAUACUCAUAAUUUCAUAAACCAAUCCGAGAAUGUUAUACAAAAUCAUAGUCUAAUUUUAUGAUACCUCUAUUUCUUUUUGGUAAAUAGAGAUAACUUUCAUUAACCAACACAAUUAUUAUAAACCACAUGGAAUUAGGAAACAACUAAACAAAGAAACAAGAGUUAAGCUCAAACAAACAAAAAGAACCAUUAGCUUCGCACCCGAAUCAUCAGAGUUUGCACCUUCUUGAAUUGCAAUCCUAUAAUGUAAGCAUCCAUCUUGAUUUGGUUAAGGGGUUGUUGAACAGAUCGGUAACAAUUCUGAAAUCUUCUAUCAUUCCUCUCCUUCCAGAUCAUAUAGAGGGUCACACUCAACACCAUUCUAUGAGUUUGAUGCAUGUCAUUGUUACUGUUACAAUGAGACUGGAUAUAUUGCAAAAUAGAUUGCCAAUUGCUUAUAUUGACACUCAUAUUCAUCCAUCUCAUAGCACCUUUCUAAACAACAUCAUCAUAUUCACAAGAAAAAAAAAGGUGAGAAUGAGUUUCAUUCUCCUUUGUACACAAAAUGCAAACCUGGUCACAUUGGAUACCUACUUUAAGCAUCCUCUCACAUCUCCGAUGUUUUUACAAAACAACAUCCUAAUUCCAAACACAUAAAAAAAAAAAAAAAGGUUAAUAGAGCUUUACCCCCUGUAAUAUAGGGCACUUUUGGUUUCCCCCCUGUAAAGUAUUUUUUUUUAGAUUCUGUCCUUGUAAAAUAAGGAUUCUUCAAGAUUGCCGCUUGAGCCCUGUGACUCAACAGAGUCUAUGAUGUGACAUUUUAUUUUAUUUUUCAAUUUUUUUGGAUGCCACGUGCAAAAAAGAAUUUACAUGUCAUUUAUAAUUAAAAAAGUAAAAAAAUAUAUUUUUUUUUAAAAACGAAAAAUCUUUUUUUAAUUAUUUUUUAAAAAGCUCAAAUUAUUUUAAAAAUCAGAAAAAAAUACUAAUUAUUUUCAAAAAAUUGAAAAAAAAAUCAAUUUUUUUUUCAAAAAUUAAAAAAAUUGAAAAUUUUAUUUUGAAAAUGAAAUUCCAGAUUUUUUUUUAUUUUAGCUCAAAAAAAUGACAUGGAAAAUGUAUUUUACAUGUGGCAUUAAAAAAAAUUGAAAAAAAAAAUGCCACGUUAGUGACACAUCAAAGAUUCUGCUGAGUCACAGUGCAUAGGUGACAAUCUUGAAGAAUCUUUAUUUUACAAGGACGGAAUCUAAAAAAAUAAAAUUACAAGGGGGAAAAUCAAAAGUGCUCUAUAUUACAGGGGUUAAAGCCCUAUAAACCCUAAAAAAAUAUUCGGUUUUUUGCGGUUUUUAAUUUUUUUUGGAUUAGUUUACGGUUUUUUUAUCGGUUUGAAUUUGAACACCCCUAAAACCAUCUCCAAUGGGAGAUCUUCAACAUUUAAGACCCGAUAUCUAUUAGGUACCCCCAUUUGGGAGAAAAAAUUUCAAGGUCUUAUAAGACCAUGGGGGGUCUCACUUAAGACCCUCAAUCUUAAGCGGGACCCACUCUAUUUUAAUAUUAAAAAAUUGAAAUAUAAUGAUAUAAAGUUAUUGAUAGUUGCUUAUCGUGGCUCAUUUAAGUAAUUUGUAUGAGAUGCUGGGUUGGAAGGAUUGAGUACUUAUUAGAUACUUCCUCCGUUUCAAAAUACUUGUCCAUUUUGAAGAAAUUACACAUACCAAUGAAUCAAAUAAAUGUUGUCAUUUUUUAUGAAAUUCUUUGUGUCUUUUUCUAUAAUACCCUGCUCAUUUAUUAUUUCAUUCAAUUAUUUCUCUCUCAACAAUAAAUAGGUAAGGGUAAUAUUGAUAAACCAAUAAUUAAUGUUGCAUUGAAACUUCAAAGUGACAAGUAAAAUGAAACAAAAUAAUUCUCCAAAAUGGACAAGUAUUGUGAAAUGGAGGGAGUACUACUCUUAAAUAAUUAUAAAUAAGUGAUGUAUCCGUAAGACUCAUUUAAAUAUUUAAAAAUGAAUAUCUCCAUUAUAGAUGCUGUAAUAAAGAAUAUAACUUUUUAUUAAAAAAUUUUGUAAUUAUUACAUCAACAAAAAUAACAAUUUUUUUUUUGAAGAAACAAAAAUAACAACUUGUUUUAUAAAAAAAGUAAAAACUUAUUUCAAAGACAUACUGUCAUUUAAUACAAUUCUUUUUUCUUUUUUGACCAAACAUUUAAUACAAUUCUUAAAAAACUUGUGAAGCUGGUUUCUUAAGAAACAAAAUGACUAUACGGCCCAUGUUAAAGCAACCUCUCUCGCCAACUUCUUCACAAUCAAACAAGAGAAAUUUGGCAUCUUGAUCUCACCAAUAAUUCUCUCAUCUCUCUUUCACUGAAAAGUCUAACAAGGUUUAUGUGGGUCAAAAUCGUCGACAAGAUAGUUUUUCUUGUUGGGAAGUUAAGUGGAAAUGAAGUAUUUUUUGGAAGAAAAAGACCAAACUUUUCUACGCUCCCUACAUAGUUUUGAGAAAUUGUUAUCAUUACAAAUAACCUAAACUCGUUGCUGAUAUUCACAAAUAAGAAAGCUUGAAAGAUGUCUUACUUAAUAUCCAUGCUAGUUUUGUUGCUAGCAAUUAUCACUCUUACAACCGUAGCAGGAAAUAUUAAUCCCAAAUAUGAGUCUGCACGAUCCAAUGGAUUCAUCAGUUACCAGCCCCCAACAACUGAUACACAAAAACUGGUUGGUCUCGAUUACAGGCGACGUAGACAUGCACCACCGCCGCCACCUCAAUAUCGUCCCAGAAUUAACUACCCAGGAACACCACACCAACAGCCUCAUCGACACCAGUUACGCCCACCUCCUAAAAUGUAAGAAUUAAGAACUCACCAUUUGAGGAGGCUAAGUUGGUCCAAUAAACUACUCUCUCCUGUUAUGUUUAAAAAAAAAAAAAAAAGUUUUUUUUAGAUUCAUUGAAUACUUGAUACAUAUUAUAAACCAAAUAUAUUAAGUAUUCAAUAAAUCUAACAAUCAGUUUUUUUUAGUUUAUAAAUGUAACUGAAGGACAAUUAACAUCAUCGUUGAUAGUAUAUUUUAUGUCUUUCACUAAAAAAAGUAUAUUUUAUGUCUUAGUUGUUAUUUUGAUUUAUAUAUUUUCUGUACUUUUUAGUGUGCUUAAGAUUUUACCAUAUGGAUAAUAAUGAUUUAUCCAGAAUAUUAUAUAAUAAGUGUAUUAAUUGUUCAUUAAGGAAAAGAACAAAAAUAAAUGUGGAAACGUCUUUAAUUGUAUUUGAUAGUUUUUUUUUAUUGUUUAUUUUAUCUUUAAUUUUCUUAGUUCCAUAUUUUUAAUUUAUUUGGAGCCUGUCAACGAUAUUCCGGGUUGGAAUCCAGUUAAUAAUAUGUCUAACAUAAUAAUAUUGUUAUUUGUCGGUUGAGUUAUGUCUUACGAACAACGACGCAAUUUAUUAGUAUAUCAUAUUUAAUAUCUUUUGUCAAAAAAAAAAAUCAUACCUUUUUUUUUUUUUUUUUAUUUAAGGAGAAAUCAUACUUAAUAUCUACUGUGUGAAUAGAAUUACUCAAAUUUAGCCAAACUGCAAUAUAUAUGCUCCCAUUCACUUUAUACAUUUUCCGGUACUGAUUUGUUGUUGGAAAUUGUUAAAGACUUACCAGAUUUAAAAUAUAUUUGAGUAAACUAAAUCAGAAAAUAUCAUAUCAUCUUUUGUUUGAUUUCCUUACAACUUUUUUUGGUCAAGUAGGCAAACAGCCAGAGAAAUUCACUUUAAAUGUGAAUAAGUAGGAUGUUGGGGGUUCAAACUCCAGCCUCUACAUAUAUAUGCAUUAUCCAAUACUAAAUAAGUUAAUCUUACAGGAACCCCCAUACAUACAAUUUACAUGGUAUAUUUAUUAUUUUUUCAACAAACAUACCUCUUAUUAAUAUUACUAAUUUAUCCUUGAAAAUGAAAAGUUAAAAUUAAACACUAAUUUAUUUCAAUGUUUUCCAACUUCAAAGUUAUUGUUAAAUCGGCGCACAUUACUACUUUGUUUAAUAUGACAUCUUCAUAUAAGUGAUUUAAAAAAAAAAUAGUGGUAUUUGAACAACCAUUUCAUACAACUUUUGGUGACAAUUUCUUUUCUCUCUUUUCAUUGGUUAAAAAUAAUGGAGAGAGAAAAAUGAAGAGAGAAAAUAAGAGGAUAAUGCGAGUAUGAGAGAUAAAGUUAUAAAAAAAUCGUCAUAAAAUGGAUGUACAAAUAUUAUUUCUCUUAAAAAAAAAAAAAGGGGUUGACAUCGUUCUAUAUAACUAUAAAUUACUAAUAAGAUAUAGUUAAAGUGGCCCCAUACGAACACAUCAUUUGUUCAAUCAAUUUUUAAAGGUAAUGUUUAAUAAGUAUUUAUUUAUUCCAAUCUAACAACUCUUCAAAAAUUAUUAAGUGGGUCCUACAAAUAACUUUACAUUAGUACUUUUUAAAAACAAUUAAUAUGUUUGUGCAAUUUGCUCAUUAUUUAGCAAAGACGAUUCCGUGUCAUGUUAGUUUCCGUGUUCAUAUUAGAACUCUAUCAUAUAUCUCUAUUAUUAUUAUAAAUGAAAUGCACUAAAUUUUCCUUUGUAAAAACAGUUUGUGCAACAUUAUUAUUUUUUAAAUAUGAAGAAAACAUUGAAUAGAGAGUAUGCAAUACAAGAGAGAGACAAUACUUUUACUACAAGCUUUGCAUCUAAAUAACAGUGCUUCUUAUUUCUUCUCCAUUGAUAACAAAAAAGGACUUGUUUCUACCUACUAAGUAACAAAAUAGUCUUUGUCAAAAAAAAAAAAAAGUAACAAAAUAGUCAAUAGUAAGCAUUUUCUUCAAAUCUUCACUUGAAUUACCAUUGACCAAACAAUGCUACGAUAUACUCAACUAUUGAGUUUCCUUUGAUCUUUGAUAAAAUGUCAAUUAUAAGAUGGACAAUUUAAAUGAGAAAACCCCUAAAUUUCAUUUUAAGGUGAAAUGAUCAAAGUCCUUUACUUUAUGUUACCAACUUACUCAAAUUAAAACCAUGAGAUCAUCUCACUCUAACGUACCAAAAUUCAAUCAAGUCUAAGUUACUCCAUUUAUUCUCUAAUUACAAAAGUUUAUAUGAAUUUUCAGAGAGAUGAAUGCGAUGAGGGUUUGAACAAGAUAAAGAGAAAAUGUCAUAAUUUAAAAAAAUAGAUUGUUAAAACUUAUAUAAUUUUUGAGAAUAUAAGAGAAGUGAACAUGUAUAAAUUUUGUGAAAAUAUACGAUUGAAUCAAUUCAUUCAAAUCUAGAACAUAAGUGUGAAUCGAUUCAUAAGUUAGAGACUUUUAAAGCACUAUUUUAAAGAAAAAUAGGGAGUGAAUCGAUUCAUUCAACCUCGGAAAAGGAUUUGUGAAUCGAUUCAUAAGUCAAAGAGUUAAACCUCUUAAAAAAAAUAAUUCAUUCAAAUCAUAAACGAGGUAUGAACCGAUUCACUUAACUUAAAGUGUAAUAAAUCAUGUUUUUUUAUUAUGUGAAUUGAUUUUCACAUACCCCAAAAUUAAUUUUUUUUUUAUGCUAACAUAACUUCCAAAAACAUUAUUCAUUGAAAUUUCAAAGGGACGGUGAUGUGAUACUUAGAAGUUACUUAGUUACAUCAAUUAUAAACUUAUUUUUUGUCCUCUAAUUGAAAUGAAUUCUUAUACACUAAAAAUAAUAUGUACUUACAUGAUGCACUUAAUUAGUUAAAAAUUAUUUAAUUGAUGCACUUCGUUAAUAUAAAAAAUAUUACAGUGUUGGUAAUCAAUGGAUUCACAUUGACACCACAAUUAUUUUCACUUUUCAAAAUAUUAUAAUACUCCCUCCGUCCCUAAUUAUAAGACCCUUUUGAGAAUUUUUUUUGUCCCUUUUUAUAAGAUNUUGGAAUAAUAAUGUCCCGUCGAAAUUAAGAAUGAUCUUAAAUGUAUAUAAACAUUCUUUCAAAAAAUUUCUAAUUGAGGAGAAAUUAAAAAGUGGAAAUAGUGGUAUCAGCAUAUUUGAGUGGUCGUAGUGCCAUAUUGAUAUUUUGGAGAAUUAAAGUUAAAAUGGUGGUAACACCAUAUUUGAGUGGUCUCAGCACCAUAAGAGAGUGGUAACAAUACCAUAUUAAAGUGGUUUCAACAUUAAAGAGUGGUCUUACUAUCAUAUUGAAGGUGUAAUUCUCGAACGGUUUUCUACACUGCAAUAGUUAAUCGAACAGUUCUAACCGGGCUUGUUUUAUAUCCUGCAGACGGCGUGGUUAAUAGUCUGUCUUGAACAAUUUUGAGCAGUGUCAUGAAAUGUUUUAUAGAGAGCGACCUGAUCGUGACUCAACCUAGUAACCAGUGGCGGAGCCCUAUCAACGAUUAUAGGUCUAUUUUGCGAGAUUUUAUGCAAUUUUGUGUCAGUUUUAUGUUUUGGUUGAUCCAAAUUCUUGCAAAGUGGUGUAGUGGCCCACCCGAAAAUUUAAAUGAUUCAAUUAUAGGUCUAUUUUGUGAGAUUUUAUACAAUUUUAUGUCG
rnacentral:lncRNA from 1 species